rnacentral:rRNA from 1 species
UACGAAGGGGGCUAGCGUUGCUCGGAAUCACUGGGCGUAAAGGGUGCGUAGGCGGGCCUUUAAGUCAGGGGUGAAAUCCUGGAGCUCAACUCCAGAACUGCCUUUGAUACUGCAAAUCUCGAGUCCGGAAGAGGUGAGUGGAAUUCCUAGUGUAGAGGUGAAAUUCGUAGAUAUCGGGAGGAACACCAGUGGCGAAGGCGACUACCUGGCCUGUUCUUGACGCUGAGGCGCGAAAGCUAGGGGAGCAAACGGG